CGGGACGUGGCGCAGUCUGGAAGCGCACCUGAAUGGGGUUCAGGGGGUCGCAGGUUCAAAUCCUGCCGUCCCGACCA
rnacentral:tRNA from 1 species